rnacentral:lncRNA from 13 species
UGGGAUUUGAGCAUCUGUUUGAUUUUCUUUCUGCAGGCUGUUAAUGACAAUUUCUCUUCUAUGAGGAGGCAAUGUGAGUGUAUUGACAUUAUUAAACCUGUUAAAGCCUAUUGCCUAAUUCAGAAUUUAUCUGAAGCUUAAUAUAUUUUGAUCUAUGAUGCAUUUGGACUAAAUGGCAACUUUUUCAAGGAGAAAGAGGACGAGAAGGAGGAGGAUGAGGACAAUGACAACAACAUCAAGAUGCCUGUGGGUAUAUUUGUGGGCAUUCCA